UAUAUCGGUGUCGAAAUCCUGCACCUAGACGUCCGAUUUAGCAUGUGAGUUCCGCCGCAGUAAGGGAUGAAGACGUAGACUAGCAAUAUGUGCAGUAGUGUGACAUAGGGCUGACAUGGUAAUGUAAGACCCAGUUGGCUACGCCUGGCUCUUCGUGACAGUGCGUGACGCUGAUGUCACAGAAGGCCAGGGGAGCAAACUGGUAUUACAUACCAUGGUAGUCCCAGUCAGUAGCGGUGCCGUAUUUGGCGUGGGAGGAUUCGACUCCUUUAUGCGCGGGAGUUAACGCGUUAGAUCGUGGAGCCUGGGGAGUACGGUCGCAAGAUUAAAACUCAAAGAAAUUGACCGGGGUCCGCACAAGCGGUGGAGUAUGUGGCUCAAUUCGAUGCAUAUCGAAGAACCUUACCUGGCCUUGACAUGCAUCUCUUACUCGGUGAAAGCUGUCGAGUCCCGAAAGGGACAAUUAGCACAGGUGUUGCAUGGCUGUAGUCAGCUCGUGUCGUGAGAUGUUGGGUUAAGUCCCGCAAUGAGCGCAACCCCUGUGAACUGUUGCCACCGGGCCGUGAGGCUCGAGCACUCUGUUCAGACUGCCCCGCUCUAACGGGGAGGAAGGUGGGGACGACGUCAAGUCAGUAUGGCCCUUACGGCCAGGGCUGCACACGUACUACAAUGCCCAGUACAGAACGAUCCAAGACCGCGAGGUGGAGGAAAUCACUAAAACUGGGCCCAGUUCAGAUUGAAGUCUGCAACUCGACUUCAUGAAGCCGGAAUCGCUAGUAAUGGCGCAUCAGCUACGGCGCCGUGAAUACGUUCCCGGGCCUUGUACACACCGCCCGCCACAUCAUGGAAGUCGCUUGUAGCCGAAGUCGGCGCGCUAACCGCAAGGAGGCAGCCGCCUACGCUAUGAGCGGUAACAGGGAUGAAGUCGUAACAAGGUAACCA
rnacentral:rRNA from 1 species